rnacentral:snoRNA from 1 species
CAAGAGUUGUGAUGACUUACUUAGGACACCUUUGGAGGGCCUCGGUCUGCUGAAAAGAAAAAUAGUACGCCUUAGUCUGAGCUCUUG